rnacentral:rRNA from 1 species
UACAGAGGUCUCAAGCGUUGUUCGGAUUCAUUGGGCGUAAAGGGUGCGUAGGCGGCGCGGUAAGUCGGGUGUGAAAUCUUGGAGCUUAACUCCGAAACUGCAUUCGAUACUGCCGUGCUUGAGGACUGGAGAGGAGACUGGAAUUUACGGUGUAGCGGUGAAAUGCGUAGAUAUCGUAAGGAAGACCAGUGGCGAAGGCGAGUCUCUGGACAGUUACCGACGCUGAGGCACGAAGGCCAGGGGAGCAAACGGG